UUCACUCAAAUUUGUAUGGAACGUUUGCCUAAGUUUGUCGCUAGGGGCGCUGUUCCAACUGCAAACAAAUUUGAAUUA
rnacentral:pre_miRNA from 1 species